GUGGAAUGGCAGCAAUGGAGCAAGCUUGCUCUCAAGUGUGUGUGUGUGUGUGUGUGUGUGUGUGUGUGUGUGUGUGUGUGUGUGUCAUUUUGUCCUCGGUGGCUGACUAAGCCUCUGAAUCAGGCUGUUGUACGCUAUAGCCACAGACAUCUGAUGAGAGCGCCUCGCACAAUCCUGCUAUUGGAUCAGAAUGCACACUAAGAUCAUUCUCUCCCUUUCUUCCAUGAGUGUGUGUGGAGGAUAUUAAGACAGUACAUAAAUGUAGACAUGAUUUGACUUCCCGGGCAUAAUUUAAAGGUGUAUAUCGCACGCGUGUAAUGGGCAGCUUUAUUCACCUCUCUACAUUGUCGUUCCCUCAUUACGAGUAAGUACGCCUUUGAUCGCUGCUCCUGUGUUCAAACCUCACCAGGAUGUAUUUUUUCAACCACACUCAAUCAAGACCCGACCCCCUGCUCGGUUAAUUAGUUUUGUUUCAACGCCAACCAAAUUAUGUCUCUUAACAACGUGGGACGUGGACUGACUCAAAUCACCGUCCAGGCUUGUUGAUGUGUGUAGCGUCAGUCCUCCAUGUUGUCGUACCUACUUAAUGGUCCUUCGUCGACAUCGCCAACCGUGGAAACUAAUAAUUGAGUAACGGCAGCAGGGAGGCGGGCAUGCUGCGCUCUUGUAUCAUAUUUUAGCGAGUAAACAUUUAAUGUGUAUAAAUGUAUCAUAGCUUUAUUUAUGCAUAGAAUAUGCUGUUAAGUCUGAAUUAUACAUAAGUCGAUGAAUAAUGUAUCCGUGCCUUCCUUAAUGAUUACUUGUCAUGUGGCGAAUGGUAAUAUUUGCUGAUAAAUUUGCCCAUUUAUCUCGCUUGUGUUUAACUAGUUGUGAAGAGAUGACUUUCACCCAACUUUGCAUUUAUGGUGCUUUUUUUCUUUCCAUUGAUCUAGUUAAAGAAUAGGUUGGUUUAUUAUAUAUAUUGAUAUAUGAUACUUUCAAAUGGUAAAACCAUCAACAUGGAAUCACUACAAUUAUC
ensembl:lncRNA